ACACGACUCUCGGCAACGGAUAUCUCGGCUCUCGCAUCGAUGGAGAACGUAGCGAAAUGCGAUACCUGGUGUGAAUUGCAGAAUCCCGCGAACCAUCGAGUCUUUGAACGCAAGUUGCGCCCGAGCCAUUCGGCCGAGGGCACGCCUGCCUGGGCGUCACGC
rnacentral:rRNA from 1 species